rnacentral:rRNA from 1 species
UACGAAGGGGGCUAGCGUUGCUCGGAAUCACUGGGCGUAAAGGGCGCGUAGGCGGCGGUUUAAGUCGGGGGUGAAAUCCCGGGGCUCAACCCCGGAACGGCCUUUGAUACUGGGUGUCUUGAGUUCGGAAGAGGUGAGUGGAAUUGCGAGUGUAGAGGUGAAAUUCGUAGAUAUUCGCAGGAACACCAGUGGCGAAGGCGGCUCACUGGUCCGAUACUGACGCUGAGGUGCGAAAGCGUGGGGAGCAAACAGG